GAUUGAAUUGGACUGACUUUUAUGUUGUAAUAUGUCCACUCUAAGCUUUGAAGCAUGAGUGUAUGUUUACUUGGUUGAAGCUUUUAAGCAAGAUCAAGUAUGUGUUCUUGAAGAGUGUCUUCUUUCUUUGUAAUAUUUUUUUUACAUCACUGUUGUGAUUGAGGGGGGUGAGUAGGGUCUCUUAUCUAAGUGUUCUUAGAUAGAAGUCACACGGGUAGAGAUUAGGUGAAAAGACUGUAACUUGAAGUUGUUUACUGAGAGUCUUUGAACUAAUUCUGUUUAGUG
rnacentral:lncRNA from 1 species